UAUUAUCAUUGUUGACCAAAGACUUAAAGACUUGAUACUAACGAAUUAAUGAUGAUGCUGUAUAUUAUCAUUGUUGACCAAAGACUUAAAGACUUGAUACUAAUGAAUUAAUGAUGAUGCUGUAUAUUAUCAUUGUUGACCAAAGGGACCAAAGACUUGAUACUUUCGGGUAGCUUCUUGGAACGGCCGACCCAAUGAAGCUUUCGGCGGGCCCGGCAGCGGCAAUCCAUUGAGCUUAUUGGAAGUCAGAGGCAGCAGAAGAUUAAAGGCACGCGUCCUUUAAUGGUCAUGUGCGAAAUUCCAAGCGUCAAGAAAGGAUCAUAAACUCUGCAUGCACCUCCAAAGUUGUUAUUAGCUCCGAUUUAUUUGUGCCUUGGACAAAGGGAAAAAAUAACAGAUCAUCAUGCAACUCAAAACCAUGACAUUUCAUUAUAUGCUCCUGCUGCUGUUCGCAUUGCCACUGAUCAAAACGACACCAAUAUCUCCACGAAAACAAGCAGAAUCGCUCAUCAAAUGGAAGGCUGGCUUUUCUCCAUCGCUACUCCAUUCAUGGUCCCUCACCAACCUCAACAGCCUCUGCAACUGGACUGCCAUUGUCUGCACCAAAACCAGAACGGUCUCCGAAAUACAGCUCUCCUAUAUGCAAAUUAACGGAACACUGGCUCUUUUCGACUUUUCCCUAUUUCCAAAUCUCACCCACUUCAACUUGAGUGGCAACUAUUUCCGAGGGCCCAUACCAUCUGCCAUUGGAAAUCUCUCCGGCCUCACAAUUUUGGACUUUGGCAACAACGGUCUUUACUACAGUGAUAACCAAUUCUCUGGCCCAAUUCCGGACAAUAUAGGUUUGAUUUCUGGUCUUCAACAUAUUGACCUGAGUGGGAAUCUUCUGGAAGGGAAAAUUCCACCCUCUAUAGGCAAACUCAGGGAUCUCCAGUUCCUUGAUCUUUCGUACAACUCCUUAAACUCUGGCCCAAUUCCGGACAAUAUAGGUUUGAUUUCUGGUCUUCAACAUAUUGACCUAAGUGGGAAUCUUCUGGAAGGGAAAAUUCCACCCUCUAUAGGCAAACUCAGGGAUCUCCAGUCCCUUGAUCUUUCAGCCAACUCCUUAAACUCUUCUAUCCCUUCUGAGCUUGGUCUUUGCACAAACCUCACCUACUUGUCCCUGUCUUCCAAUAAACUCAAUGGGGAACUGCCUCUGUCCUUGUCCAAUCUGAAAAACCUCGUUGAAUUGCAUUUAGCUAAUAAUCUAUUUAUUGGUCAAAUCCUUCCUUCUCUGGUCUCCAAUUGGACGAAAUUGGUUGAUUUGUACCUUCCUCAUAAUAGCUUCAACGGAACCAUUUCAGGAAAAAUUGGGCAGUUGACACAAUUGCAGCAUGUAAGCCUUUAUUCCAACAAAUUCAGCGGAGAGAUUCCUCAGAGUCUAGGCAAUUUAUCUCAGCUUCAGGGACUCUAUUUGGACCAGAACCACUUGACAGGAGAGAUUCCCCAGAGUCUAGGCAAAUUGACUCUGCUUCAGGGACUCUAUUUGUCCUAUAACCACUUGACGGGAGAGAUUCCUCAGAGUCUAGGCAAAUUGACCCAGCUUGAGAGACUCCAUUUGUCCGAUAACCACUUGACAGAAGAGAUUCCUCAGAGUCUAGGCAAAUUGACUCUGCUUCAGCAACUGCAUUUGUCCCAUAACCAAUUGACAGGAGAGAUUCCUCAGAGUCUAGGAAAAUUGACUCAACUUCAGGAACUCUCUUUCCACAAUAACCACUUGACAGGAGAGAUUCUGAUUCCUCAUAGUCGAGGCAAAUUGACUCAACUUCAGGACUCUCUUUCCACAAUAACCACUUGACAGGAGAGAUUCCUCAGAGUCUAGGCAAUUUAUCUCGCCUUCGUGAACUCGAUUUGUCUGCUAACAACUUCACAGGAGUGAUCCCACGGAUUUCAGGCUUAACAGGUUUGGUCUACAUGGAUCUCAGCAGCAAUUCACUAUCGGGUGCAAUACCAUUAGGAUUGCACAUGCUCACAAGAUUAGAGGUUUUCAAUGCCUCACGCAAUCAUCUCUCAGGCGAAAUCCCAUUAGCAUUAGCUGACAUGUCAAAUCUAAGUAGGUAUGACUUUUCGUAUAACAACUUGACAGGGCCAUUACCAACCCGUGGCAUUUUCGAAAAGGCGCCAACAAGUGCUUUUGUUGGUAACCUAUGGCUUGUGGAGUCAUGCAGAUGGACGAACUGAAUUUAAGUCUUCCAGUACACAUUCCAAAAGGGCUAACAAGAAUAAAGUAUCCAUUAUCCUUUAUUCCUUUUGCGGUUUCGCAACUGUUGCAAUUGCCAUUUUUUUCUUUCUUAUGUUUCGCAAGAAGUCCACGAUCCGGCCUCAGGUAAUCAAAACUUCUCAAAACUUUGAGAGUUUUGAAGCCAUGAUAUUGCAAGAGGAAGUAAAAUUUACGUUUGCAGAAGUUGUGAAGGCUGUAGAUGACUUUCAUGAGAAAUACUGCAUUGGCAAAGGAGGUUUUGGAAAGGUUUACAAGGCAGAGCUCCAAUCAGGCCAAGUUGUUGCAGUUAAGAGGCUUAACACGGACGACUCUAAUGACGUUCCAGCGAUCAAUCUUCAAAGUUUUCAGAAUGAAAUCCAAACUUUGACAACUAUCCGGCAUCGAAACGUCAUAAGACUAUAUGGCUUCUCUACAAGGAAGGGUUGCAUAUUCUUGCUUUAUGAAUACUUAGAGAGAGGCAGCCUCGGAAAAGCAUUGUAUGGGGUAGAAGGGGUUACUGAACUUGGCUGGCCAACAAGGGUAAAAAUUGUGCAAGGACUUGCUCAUGCACUUUCUUAUCUGCACCAUGAUUGCUCACCACCAAUUGUGCAUCGUGAUGUAACUGUCAAUAAUGUAUUGCUUGAGCAGGAUUUUGAGCCCCGACUCUCAGAUUUUGGAACAGCAAAACUAUUGAGUAUUGAUUCAUCCAACUGGACCAACAUUGUUGGUACGCUAGGAUACAUGGCCCCAGAGCUUGCAUAUAUUAUGCAGGUGACGGACAAGUGUGAUGUUUAUAGCUUCGGAGUGGUGGCACUAGAAGUCAUGAUGGGAAGGCACCCCAGGGAUAUGCUAGAGUCCCAGCUAUUAGAAUCAUCAACGUCAAUGAAAGGAAAUGCAGACUUGCUUCUGAAAGAUGUGUUAGAUCAACGACUAGAGCCUCCAGCCAAUGAAUUGGCAAAGGCAGUGGUGCUUGUAAUGAGUAUAGCACUGGCUUGUAUACGGACGCGUCCUGGGUUGCGUCCAACAAUGCAUUUUGUGUCACAAAAUCUAUCAGCUCAGAGUCUUCCUUGCCUUCCUGAGCCAUUUGGUAUGCUUACCAUCAACAAGCUAUUGGCCCUUCAAAACUAGAAGAAAAUAGAGAACAUGUAGCUCCAACUUCACAUUAGAAUUCUUGCUGCAAGCAGUCUAUCAAAUAAGAAGUUGUGGAAUUUUAUUUUUUUUAAUUUUUUUCUUGAUGUUUACAACAAACUUCAUAAACAUGUAAUUGAUAUCUGCACCACCCUGAUUACUACAGAGUGUUGCAAAUUGUGUUUGGUAAUGUGGAAUUCGUACUUGCAUGAAUAACCAGUUACCCACAAGUGUUCUAUCGAGAUACUUUCUUUUUUGGUUUGAUUUUCCUAUUUGUCGUCAUUGAUAUUGUGAUUGUAAUUAUCUCUCUAUCAAGGACCACUAGAAAAUGUACCCGCACUUUGCUGCGGGGAUUGAAUGCAUUAAUCGGGACUUGAAACAUGCAUGAAUAAUUUCUACACAAAGUAACUGAAAUGACAGUACAGUACGUAAGAACCAAUGAAGUGAUACUUUGCUUGCUAUACAUGGAUAUCCAUGCUAUAAGAAACAUUCAUUUGCAGAUCGUAUUAUGUCCUUAAUAUUGUACUUAUAGUUUCAAGUAACCAGACCACUCCAAGACAAAGAUAAAGCAUAUAGUUUGUUUACAAAUCAAAACGAAGUGCUGCCAUAAUGUAUGACUGAAAAAAUGCCUCUUAAUGUCGUCUUGCAAGAAAGGAAUGCAGUUUGAAAACAACCCAAAAAACACCCUAGAAAUCUUUACCACCCCAAUAUUACUAAAUAGAAGCAUAAAUGGACAGGAUCCCUCCCUAAUUUUGUAACAGAAAUUCUAACAAAGAGUAUCAGGCUCCAAAGGUCUUAUCUUUUGCAUAAAUAUGUACACUGCAAGUUUAGUUCGAAUGAAACAAAUAUGCAUGUAAAGUAAAAGGCAUCAACGCUACAUGCACUGUUUUACAACCAUCUCAAGUUGUUGACACAAUGCUUAAAAUAUUCGAGACUCAAAUAUUUUCACACAAACAGAACACCUCACCUAAACAAUAUUCGAGACUCAUAUUUUCUUUUCCUCUUUCCUAUAUGAUACAAUAAACUGUUCAUAUUCAGACGUAAAUAAGAGAAUCUGUCACACUGUACUAUUUACUAUUACAGUUGCUAGUCCUGAACAAAAAUGCAAGUGCAGCUGCUCUUAAUCGAGAACUUCAUCAAAUAAACAAUAAUAAAAUUUAAUGUAAUCUGUCAAAAACCC